rnacentral:ncRNA from 1 species
AAUAAAUAUCAGACAACAAGUGGCCGGUGAUGAACCGGCAUAAUAGGGAAACAGGUGUAAAUCCUGUGCGGUGCCGCCGCUGUAUAAGGGGAGAAGUCCUAUGUUACCACUGGGAAACCGGGAAGGUAAGGCCUUUGAUGAACCUUGAGCCAGAAGACCUGCUUGAUGCGUAUUCAUUGU